UAGACAUUCAGGAUCCACAGACUGAAGAGGAAUUGGGCCCUAUUUAUAAACCUAAGGACUCCUCUUCACCAUCAGCUCUCUACCUUAUAAUGUUCUACAACAUAUUUUUUUAUAUCCUGCUUAGUACCCCCUUCCUGGAUCAGCCCCUCCCACAUCUCCCUUCUCCCCUGGGUAACCCCCACCCUGACUCUUCAAGUCUCUUUGAGGCUAGGCACUUUCUUUCCCACUGAGGCAAGACAAGGUAGCCA
rnacentral:lncRNA from 1 species